AGGAGCGCACAGACAUAUGAGAAUCAUAUGUGAAUCAGGAUUUUUGUUGCUGUGACAGCAUGACCAAAACUACUCAAGGAAGAGUUUGUUUUAGCUUCUGGUUGCAGAGGGGGCUGGACUCCAUGAUAGCAGGGAAGGCGUGGGCUGACGGCAAGGAGCAGGAAGCCAGCAGGUCGGUCCAACGAAUAGGAAGUGGAGCUGGCUAGGAACCUGCAAGGUUGCCCCUCCCAACGCUUCCAUCACCUCCCCGGAGCUCCUCCAGGGGAUCGAGUGGUCUAUAAGCCUAUCAGAAGCAUUUCUCAUUUCAGCACGACACUAAGUGUCCUAAGUCUGCACCGAGCUAUUGUGCCCAGCUAUCCACAGGUCAGCUCUACAGAGAGACAGGAAGUAUAUCCAAGUCCAUGGCGUGUAACCGACACCUCGCUGUUUCACCACAACAGAGACAAGGACCGGAGUGAAGAAAGGUCAUUUAUCCCCUAGGACACCGGAUGGGUCCAUACAAUCUUCAAGCCAGGAUAUCAGGGCUGCACAAUCAAGACAGACAACCCACCAGGAGAGAAAAACAAGCUUCCAAGGUGUCCUGGCACCUACCCACUGGGAGAGGCACUUCGGAGCUAGAGGCUGCAACUAAAGCCUCUGCGUACUCAGGUAAAUAUACAGAAUGAUCCCAAUCCCUCACACCUGGAGGGGCGGGGGCAGGGCGCCAGCCAUA